rnacentral:rRNA from 1 species
GGAUCAAUUUAUUGGUCGUGCUAUUGUACGUACUGGUAUUAUUGAUUCCUACCUUCUGACGAACCAUGAUGCCAUUAAUUUGGUGUUGCGGGGAAUUUGGACUGUUACUUUGAAAAAAUUAGAGUGUUUAAAGCAAGCUAACGCUUGAAUACAUUAGCAUGGAAUAAUGAAAUAGGACGUUCGAUCCUAUUUUGUUGGUUUCUAGGAUUGACGUA